UGGCGAAUGUCUCUUGAAUGUCUGUUGAAUGUGCGAAUAUAAAACCAACUUUACCUCGGUCUGUAUUGCUAGCAAAUGAGCUAGAAAGUUGUAAACAUUCGUGAACGCAAACCAACAUUCUAGCUAGCUAGGUAAAUGCUACAUAGGUUUAACAUAACCAAACUGAUAGCUAACGUUACUUACUCUUUGGAUGGUUUCUUGGUUGAUCUGAGCUUUUCCUCUAUGUCUUUUUGGUACAAAGGCAACAGACAUUUUGAGUUACAUUGAAUGAUAGACGUUACCGCCUGGGAUUUUCGGCCGUCACGAUAUAUGGAACGCCGUUUGGGUCUUAAAGCACGUGGUCAAAACGUAUGGAACGCCGUUUGGGUCUAAAGUACAUGGUCAAAACGCGAUAGUUUUAAUGCUGCGUGUGUAAACAACAAUCGCAGCAGUACUGUAAUGGAUUGCUUCAUGAAUGCUGUCUCCAACGGACCAUGGAGGAGAAAACAACACUGUCUGCUUGUUGAAUACUACUUCUACAAACGAGGCUACACUUGUGGCAGCACCUAUUCCUGUGCCCCCACAUCUUCUGCACCACUUCUUGUGGCCCCCUCCACCUAUACCACUUCCUGUGGCCUCCCCUCCACCAUUCCCUGAGGCUUAUCGUCCACCUUCACCACACUCUUUUGUUGAUGUUGGUGAUGACAAUGAGACGCUGACGGAAAAGGGGCAGCUGAUGAGGGUGGUCCAUCGAGAAUCUCUCCGGCUGCUAAUGAGUGCCAUCCAUUCCUCUGGAGUCUUUGAGGGACCUGAUUGGCAAAAAUGCCUUUCUUGCAACUCUCAAGCACUCUAUGAUGGCGUAUACAAACAGGUGGGCCCCAUGACUGCUGUCUGUCUGGUACAUGGGGGUGUAGAGACACAUUUUUUCAGAGAGGCUAUACAGGCAAGUGUGUGGCCUACAACCUCCUGUGCCAGAACUGAAAGAAAUUGCGGAAUAUGACUUCAGAGAGAAGUUGGAGAAGAUUCAAAAAGGGUCUGGAGUAUCUAGGUUUCCUGCCUUACAUGAAUAGACACUCAAGCUUCUU
rnacentral:lncRNA from 1 species